GUGAAUAUGUACCCGGGCCCUGUACACACCGCCCGUCACACCCUGGGAAUUGGUUUCGCCCGAAGCAUCGGACCAAUGAUCACCCAUGACUUCUGUGUACCACUAGUGCCACAAAGGCCUUUGGUGGUCUUAUUGGCGCAUACCACGGCGGGGUCUUCGACUGGGGUGAAGUCGUAACAAGGUAGCCGUAGGGGAACCUGUGGCUGGAUUGAAUCCUUC
rnacentral:ncRNA from 1 species